rnacentral:rRNA from 1 species
UACGUAGGGGGCAAGCGUUGUCCGGAUUAUUGGCGUAAAGAGCGUGUAGGCGGCCAGGUAGGUCUGCUGUGAAAACUCGAGGCUCAACCUCGAGAUGUCGGCGGAAACUGUCUGGCUAGAGUCCGGAAGAGGAGAGUGGAAUUCCUGGUGUAGCGGUGAAAUGCGUAGAUAUCGAGAGGAACACCUGCGGCGAAGGCGGGUUGCUGGGCCGACACUGACGCUGAUGCGCGAAAGCCAGGGGAGCGAACGGG